GAUAUGUUGAAUAUUAUAACUCAUAUUAAUGAAGCACGAAAUAAAUAUUUUGGGCCCAUCGUAUUAUGUUUUACAUAAUCAUUUGAUUUUGUUCCAUUUUUUGAAAUAACUCAUAAUCAACCUUGGUUAUAGAUUUAACAUCUAGUCAGUAUCUAUCAUCGGUGCACGUCGCGUUUCGAGUCCACUAGGGUGAUUUGGGACGGGUCGUGUCAAUUAACAAGAGACGGAGAGAGGACUGGGAAUCUAGAGACCAUUUUUUUUAUUCCCACAUUGACAAGAAGAGUUGAUUGAUAUCUACCUACAAAGUACAAACAUCUUUCUUGAUCCCAUAUCGCAAACCUGAGAAAGAAGCACUAAAGAUGAAUUAUAUAAAUAUGUGGGCCAAAUAUAAAUUUGUGGACAGUCAAUUUCUUGGGCUGAAAUUUGAAAACAACAUUUGAUAAAGUAUUUAACUCGGAAAAAUCGGCAAAACCUGUUGCGGGUCGUCCGGUCAACGGUAUGAGUGGUUGAAAUUUCGAUUUUUUACCGGUUCUAAUUAAAAACGGUCUAAAGCAAUGACCGACCUGGAUAUUGGUUCGGUUCCCCAUUUUCCCAAUUGAACCGAUCGGUAUAGUCCGAUUUUCAAGACAUUGCAUAGAAUCAUUGGAAGAUGGAGAGGGAGAAAAAAUAGGCACAUCACGCAUCGAAACGUCAACAUCGAUAUGAAUUCUGUCAAUAUUUUCUUGUACUCAUAACUUUUUCCUUAAAUGGAUGAUUACCUGAAAAUUCUAGUAUUCCUCAUUGUCGCUCUUUACACAUUUAGUACGUGUUCAUCAACCUCCUUAAAGAUCUUUAUUUUAUACAUGUCAUUUGAGGUUUGACAUGUUAAUAUAACUUAAAGUUAGCCAAAGCAUUUUCAAAUAAUUUUAAGUCGUGCAUAAAGAAUUAGUUAGUAAUACAUAAGACAUAUCAUAAAGUACAAUUAAUUAAAUGAUGAUUAUUCGAUCCAAUGGGGAAAUAAUAAUCUUAAGAAUUUAAUUGCAAUAAAUAAUUAUUAAAUGUUGAAACAAGAAAUUUCCUCAGCUCACAUGUACGAAAUAUAUUUGUAUUUGAUAUUACUAAAGUCUUCGUAAAUUCAAUGUGUGAUAACAACCUCUAUUCACAUGAAGGUUUGAAUUUACAUAUUUCAAUUGUCAUUAGUUAAUUCAAUAUAAAAAUAAUCUUUAUAGUAUUAAUAAAUGUUUACAUUAUGCAGUGAUUCUAGUGUUUUCUAAUAACUCUAUUAGAAUUCUAAUUCUAUGUGUAAUAGGAAGGAGAAAAUUCUCAUUACUUUAGGAUGUAUGGAUCUUGACUUGGAGCUUCGUGUGGAUGAAUCACUUGACUCUAUGGAAUCAAGUACUCCAGGGAGAGGCCAUUGUAUGAAUUGUGGGAAACAUUCAAUUGCUUGAGUGUGAGUCUCAUAAAGACUCAUGUCAGUAAAUGCAUCAGGGGAUCAAUUCCCUCAAUGGGAUAAGGCCAAGAACUUUAUAAAGGCUAUUGAAGAACAAUUUGUAAGUUCUGACAUAAUGUUGUCUAGACAUAAUGUUGUCUAGUACCUUAAUAAAAGGCUUUCAGGUAUGAAGUUUGACAAUUCUAAUGGUGUGCAUGAAUACAUAAUGGAAAUAAGAGACAUUGUUGCUCGUCUUAAAUCCC
rnacentral:lncRNA from 1 species